GAUGAACGCUGGCGGCGUGCCUAAUACAUGCAAGUCGAGCGGUAAGGCUCUGCACCUAUUAUUUGAUCGAGGUAACUCCGGUUACUACAGCAAACCAAUUCAAACCUAGGCUAGGAGAGAUGAGGAGAGGGAAGAUCGAGUAAUGUGUGUAGAGUACACGAGCGGCGGACGGGCUGAGUAACGCGUAGGAACGUACCCCAAAGUGAGGGAUAAGCACCGGAAACGGUGUCUAAUACCGCAUAGUGGGUCUUCGGAUUAAAGCUUCGGCGCUUUUGGGAGCGGCCUGCGUAUGAUUAGUUUGUUGGUGAGGUAAUGGCUCUACCAAGGGCUUCGAUCAUUAGCUGGUCUGAGAGGAUGAUCAGCCAGACUGGGACUGAGAAC
rnacentral:rRNA from 1 species